AUUGAACGCUGGCGGCAGGCCUAACACAUGCAAGUCGAGCGGAUGAAGGGAGCUUGCUCCUGGAUUCAGCGGCGGACGGGUGAGUAAUGCCUAGGAAUCUGCCUGGUAGUGGGGGAUAACGUCCGGAAACGGGCGCUAAUACCGCAUACGUCCUGAGGGAGAAAGUGGGGGAUCUUCGGACCUCACGCUAUCAGAUGAGCCUAGGUCGGAUUAGCUAGUUGGUGGGGUAAGGGCCUACCAAGGCGACGAUCCGUAACUGGUCUGAGAGGAUGAUCAGUCACACUGGAACUGAGACACGGUCCAGACUCCUACGGGAGGCAGCAGUGGGGAAUAUUGGACAAUGGGCGAAAGCCUGAUCCAGCCAUGCCGCGUGUGUGAAGAAGGUCUUCGGAUUGUAAAGCACUUUAAGUUGGGAGGAAGGGCAGUAAGUUAAUGCCUUGCUGUUUUGACGUUACCAACAGAAUAAGCACCGGCUAACUUCGUG
rnacentral:rRNA from 1 species